GGCCCCUUAGCUCAGAUGGUUAGCAGCAACCGACUCAUAAUCGGUAGGUCACAGGUUCGAGUCCUGUAGGGGUCACCA
rnacentral:tRNA from 1 species